AACUCCCGACCUCUCAAUAAUAGCAUCUAAAUCUGGCGCUCUCUUGGACGGUGAUCCAUAGUCUAUACAGCGAACAACUCGUGUACGAUGGUUUUAUACAAAAUAUUAACCUGAACUACAGACUCACACGGCAACACCUGUUCGCUAAUCUCCUCACCUGAGCAUUCUGCCCUUCCUCCUCUUUCUGAGCUCUAUACUCCGAGCAAUCGAAGUGGAAUCUAUGUUCUUUGUUCAGAUUUUUGUAAAUUUUAUUUUAAUCAACCUGUUCUAGCUUACUUGUUUCGACGCCUUUGCACAGAUUUCAUCACCGUUCUUUGCUUUUUUUUUUAAAAAAAAAUUGUCGUAUGUAUGGAUGGUUUGAUAUUCGUUUUAAAUAAGCUGUUAUUUGUCGUACUUGGAGGAGUUUUAUUAUAUGAUUAUUUUCUAUCUUAUGGGUUUAAUUUUGAUGUUUCUGUGCAAAUUUCAUGUGCAUCUGCUGCUUUUUUUUAAUCUUCUUUUCUCGUUGUAGGUUCAAUAUAUGAUUCAUUCUUUCGUGUUUUUCUUCCAAUUUUUGUUUUAAUCAAUCUGCUUUAUCUUCUGUAUUUUUUAAUACAAAUUUCAUCAUCUUUUGAGGUUUUUUAUUUUUUCUCAUUUUUCUGCUUGUGAUUGUUAAAUAUUCCUUUUAAUAUUAACUUCAUCUUUUCUCCCUUUUCUGUUUUUUAUUUUUAAUCAAUCUGUUCUAUCUUCUUGGUUUGUAUUUGAUGUUUAUUCAAAUUUCUUAACCAUUUCCCCCCUUUUUCUGAUCUUGUUAGUCAAUAAGUUUGAGUACUUUUUUUUUUUAUAAUGUUUAUGAAUUGCAAUGGCUGCAAAGGCCAAGGUGUUGAUGAAGAGAUUGAAGAGGGGUGGUUCUCAUUUAUCCAUUGUUCUUCCUUCAAAUGAAUCUUCUGAGUGCUUUGAAUUCUAGGGUUUAUAUAUUUCUGCACUUUGAUUUCAAUUAUAUGUACUAGUAUUCAUCUAUAGCACUUGGAAGGGGGUGCAGGGAGAACAAUUAUUGAGCAAGAAAAUCUUUGAAAGAUACAACCGCUGUAUUCCAUUAGUGACGUACCUCAUGGAUUCUACGAGGAUCAAAUGGAAGGUUUGUGGAAGCAACUUGGUGAAGAGACUAAGAAUCACAUGGAACUGAAAGGAGAAACAAGUGGUCCUAACUUCUGAAAUCAAGCAAGACUCCUUCCUUCAAAACAUCAUGGACAUUAUCGUAAGUGACAAGCAAGAACUUAUCAAAGCAGUUGACUAUAGACCAGGACUACACCAAUAACGACAACUAUAUCAACGGCGGCAAUUGCAAGGAAGCAUGGUGCAAAUAAAAUGGGUCCCCCACCAAGUUGAAUUGCUCAACCAUAAUUUCAACUAUUCACCAACUUGCCAGAGUUACAUCUCUGAUAAAUUGCCUCUUUGGCAGCCUUUCUUCUAUGCUUUUGAAGGUACAAAUGAUGAAAUGGUCAGAUGUCAAAUAUUGAUGGUGGUAACCACCAUAUCUCUGCACAAAUGCCCGGCUUUGGUUUUUAUGUUACAAUAGAAACAUAACCAGAGGCCAUGUAUCCAAUAAAUUAAAGAAUUUUAGGAUGCAUGAUAGAUCUUAUUUAUUUUGUUUAUGCGUUCUUAACAGAGGAAAGGUGAAACUGUUACUUUCGUGGCCCC